AUGUGCCCCGGUAGAGAAACCCUUCUACCGUAUUAUAUGUUGAGCUAUGGCACUAUGUGUGUCUAGGGUUGGACUGCUCUGGGUGAAAGAGUGAGAUGAGUCGUUAGCUCUAUGCCGCUCAUCAGGCACUCAUAGGUAUCAGUAGCCCACUGUUGCUCGUCCGAUUCAGUUCGGGACCCGUUAGCUCAGAAUUAAGGGUAGUUAUUAGCCCAUGUAGGAUUAUCGUCCUACAUAUCAGAAGUGGGAUAGGGUCCGCGUGUGCCACUGCGUGUGGAAAACCGUGAAAAUCACGGCGCGAGUGAAAAAUAAGGUGGAAAUUGCGGAGAGGACAACGCAGAAGAGCAGCGAGAGCAACAUGGCCGCCACCGUGUGGAGAAAAAUGCGGCGUAGAAGCAGCGAAAAUGCGGCUAGAUGGGACUGCGAGAUCAUCGAGAAGCGCCCCAGCAACUGUGUGGUGGAGCACCCGGCGAUGGAAGUAGCGCAAGUACCCCUAAGUGCCCCCAAGGAAAGACAAAUAAAACGAUAAAAUUGAAAAAGAAUCUGUUUCUUGGAAUUAUGAAGUCAUGAUGAAAUUCUGAGAAAUUUUUGGCAAUUCCAGAAAUUUCUAUGUGUUGACCCCUUUUGUGUAUGCUCUGUGUGAAUGGUGGCCACCCGCACAAAAUAAUUAUCUUGUCUUGUCUUGCAAUAACAUGUCGUAACAGGAAUUCCUUUUCAGGCAAUACAUGAUAAAUUUUGAAUAUAAUUUAUGCGAAGUUCCAUAGAAAAAAGAAUGCGAAUGUCUAGAAAUGUUUCAUACGUAAGUGAAAUUAGCCGAGUUUAAUGAAACAUGAAAUCGAUGAGAUUUAUGAAACACGAAAUGUUUUUGCUGGAAUUUGACCACAUCGUGACAUUUCGGUCGUGCCGAUUGAAUGUUCGGGUAUUGUGUCAUAUUUUUGUUAUUAUUUGCGUCGUUUGAGUUUUCAAGGUAUUUUGUGAAGAAAUUCAAGGAAAUUUCCAAUUAAAUAUCGCAAAGAAAUAGCAGCAGAGAAACACAAAGUCGAGAAGGCAAAACUCUACGGUUGCCAUGCCCAUGGGAACAAAGAAGCUAAGCGCAAUAAUCCAGCGAUUUGAUUCAGAUUGACCGACUGCAUUGACACAGAAGAUUGGCUUGUAGAAGUUGAAAAGUGCGCGUUUGAUGUAUCACGGGGAAGAAUGAAUCUAUGUGAUUCAGGAGACCCGCUGCAAAAUGGUUUCAUGGAGCCAAAGCGAGGUUGGAUAAGUGGGCAAAAUUACGCAAUGAAUUGUUGCAAUUCUUUCCUACCGUUGUGUAUUUGAGGACAUCAUUGUUGACACAAACUUUUGAAUCUCUCCCGCAACUUCGCCGUGUGCUAAUUGAUGUGGAACAAAACAUUGAAAACGUAGACGAUUCCAAGCAGGACAGGCGCUAUUCCAAGCACAACUCUGAGCAGAAUUCAGGGCGCUACCAUCCGUACCGCCAUGGCAAGAAGAAUGACAAUGUGAAGCACACAAGGAAGCCAAAAUGGAGAAUGGGUAGAAAGGCACCAAAGAGCGGCGAAGCUCUGAGAACUUUGCUACAGAUGCAAAAGCCCGGACCGUGAAAAUUAUGAGAAGAUGAUUAAAUUAAAUUUCUUGGAGAUACGAAACAAAGUAGAUAAAAUCAAUAAGAGAAUCUUAGGCCUACUGAGUGUAAAUCAAUAAAAGAAAUUAAAGAAAUGUAUUAUUAUUUAUCCAAGAUUUAAUUAGUUGUUUGAAAUAACUUAACAUUUACAGGAGAAGUGAAAUUCAGAUCUCAAGGUAAGCCUACUAAGUAAAAUGGAGAAUAAUUUCUUUGUCAUUUUAGAUUAUUGUCAUACAACGAGGAUGCAACAAAGAAAUGUUAAGGAUUUAAAAUAUCGAAAAUUAUAUGUCCCGCUCAGACACAAGCUAGAAGUAAUGAAGGAAGAGAAUCUCAAGCGUACGACAAGAAUUGAGGACUGUAUAGAUAUUAAGAAAGGCUAUAUGCCAAAGUCAAGCAAUGGCUGUGUGCCGCUUGAAAGCUGAGUGCGCUAAACUAAUGACUGGAUAGAUGUUAAGGAAGACAAUCUCAAGCGCACGACAGGAAUUGGGGACUGGAUAGAUAUUGAGGAAGGCUAUGUGCCAAAGUUAAGCAAUGGCUAUGUGCCGCUUAAAAGCUGAGUGCGCUAAAUCAAGGAUUUCAAAUGUCAAGUAUGUGCUCCGCUCUGACACAGGCUAGAUGCAAUGAAGGAAAACAACCCGAAGCGUAUAAUAGGAA